UUUUUUUUUUUGCCGGGUUUUUGGGUCCUGCUGUUUUUCCGCGAGCCAUGAAUGACUGAGCUUCAUCCCAAACGGCCUUUGUGUCGAGUGCUCAGGCCUGCUGACCUCAACCUCAACUUGAUCCCCAGAACGACAUGUGGAAGGUGAGAACCAACUCCCUAAAAUUGUCCUCUGGUCUCUAGAACAUUCUGUGUCGGGCAUGCAUCUACACAAAUGUGCACACAAAAUAAAAAAAGCCAGGUGUGGUGGUGCAUGGCUGUACCCCAGCAUGAGCAGGUACAGCGCCUGCUGACAAAGAGCCCCACUUUACCUCUCCACACUCACGGACAAACCCACACACAAUGAAAGAAAGGAUUGCCCCUGCGGGCCCAGCGGCCAGUGCGGCACGGGACACCUGUGAGCAGCUCUAGGUCAACAGGAGAAUCUCUGCCUGACAAAGAACCCCACUUUAACUUCUUCAACCACAUGACCUUAGCAGAGGAAAGUCCAGUUCACGUGAGGGACACGCCUGGUGUGUCACUUACGUGUGUCCAUCCAGAUCUAAUGAAGAGUCUAGGUGACAUCAACAGUGACUCUACCAGGGCCGACGAGGAUGAAGAAAGCAUCGUGGAAGCUGUGAGCGAUGACUGUUGGGAUGGCUGCUGUGAGCCUGACCAGCGGGAGCUGUACGUGAUUCUCCAUAAAAAGAUCAGGUUUGUACCUGAUCGAAGUUAAGGAAGAGGCGAAGAAACUGCCCCACACAGUUCAGUAAAGUCUUAUUGGAUUGACUACAAUGGCUCACUGAAACGUUAAAGAUUUAUUUACUUUUUUAUUAUGUAUACAGUGUUCUGUCUGCAUGUACACCUGCAGGCCAGAAGGGGGCAGCAGAUCUCAUUAUAAACCAGGUUAGUGGUUGCUGGGAAUUGAACUCAGGACCUUUGGAAGAGCAGCCAGUGCUCUUAACCUCUGAGCCUUCUCUCCAGCCCUCAAAGAAACACUUUUAAACCCUCAACAAACUUUAUUUACCAUGACAGCUUCCUGGUCAUGGUAGUGACUGGAUUAGUGACUGCAGCAGUACCUGCUUUGAAAAAAUCAAGUUCCUACUUGACUAUGAUUCCCUGAGGUUUUUAGGUGUUAAACAUUUAUGUGGAGUUAAUUGAAGAUAGUCAGCUGAAUAGCAUUCCAUUAUUCUACCAUGAUGUGAAUAUUUUACUGGGAAAUAAGACCAAUAAAUUGUUAAAGUUUAAAAGAAGAAGCAGAAGCAGCUGAUCCGAAACCUAAGCUGACCAUGACGAGGCGAUUGUGGGGAAAAAGAAACUAGAGCAGGAACAUGAAAGUGAAAGUGAAGCAGACAGGGUGGGGGUGGGGCAGCCCAGCUCUCCAGCUCUUUCAUAACAGCACCCUGUCUCCCAAACCUGCUGGGAGUGGCAGGCCGAGGGUGACCCUGAGGGCAGGAGCCUGUGUUAGACUCUGUGAGGGCAGGAGCCUGUGAGGGAGGGGCCUGGCCCAGAGCUUUCCAAGGAAAGCAGCAGUUUGGAAGGCAGAGCAAGCCUCUCCUGAAGCUGUCUUCGGCCCCCCAGGCUAGCGAAUCCCUAACCCCACGCCCCCUCUUCCUUUCUUCUUUGCCGUGUGUGUUGAAGGUGAAUUUUCUUGGUGGGGGAGGGGCAGACAAGUGCUUUUGUCACUCGUGUGCAGGGGAGGACUCCACACGCUUACUGCCAUCUACCCGAGGAGCCAGGACACUUGCACUUGAUUUUUAACCCAGAUCCAGCUCACACGUCAACCUUCCAUGCAGCUGUCUAGAAAAAUGCCCACUUGGGGGGGCACACGGGGUGGCGGGCUCCCCAAACCCCUAUUAUAUAAUAGCUUCCCGCGUGAGCCCCCAAGGCCCAGCUGUGCCUGGUCACGUGAAGGGGAUGGAGAAGAACAGCGUGAUUAUUGUGCAGUCAUGUUAAGAGGUGAGAGUGAGGGGCUGGAGAGGUGGCUCCGAGGUGAAGGACACCAGCUGCUCUUCCACAGGACCUGAGUUCAAUCCCCAGCACUGCAUGGAAGCCGCGACCAUCUGUCUCUCUUCUGCUCUCCGAGGGUGCCAGGUGUGUAAGUGAUGUACAGGCCCACAUGUAAACACGCGUAAAAUUUAAAGAUGGUUGUAAGAAUUGGCUGUGGGAGGAUGAACAUGUCCUCUGAGCUGAGCCUGACCACUGCCAAUUUGGGACAGGAGCCUUAGGAAGCUGUGGCUUGUCCCCUGAGGUGGGUAGUGAGGUGAGCUGCCCAAGCUGCUGUCCGAGGAGGAGGAACUCUAAUGGAGAGAAGAGGACUCAUGGGCAGCAUGACCGCUGUGUGGGGAGAUAAGGAGCAACAGGUAAAAAGGAGAGGAAAUGGAAUGAAAUGUCUCGCAGGUUCUACAGCUGGUGGGGUUCAAGUUCAAGUCUACGCAUGGCCAGACCACAGGGCUCCCUUAGGAAGAAAGGGUGGGGUCAGGGCUGGGAGGGCGGGUGACUUAGUUAAAAGAGGAAAAGUGUCUCCUAGCUGAAUGCUGAGUCCAGCGUCACAGGGGACUCACAGCGGCCCGUCCAGGGAAAUCCUCAGCCCGAGGAUCCCCUUGUGCUCUGUGACACGGUCGUGGGGAAACUUGGAGCCAGGCUCGUGGGAAAGCCCGCUGGCGUGUCUGCAGGCCGAGGGUGGUAUGAGGGCCAGCGCGGAGGAGGAUCUAACACCCACAGCCCUCGCUGUGCCCUGGUGAACUCUACAUGCCAGCGGACACAACCCGGAAUCGCUGGAGAAGAAAAUCUCAGCCUCGGAUUGGCCAGGGCCGUGGCUCGCGGCAUUUUCUUGAUAACUGGUGUAGGCAGCAGGCCCCCACGCAGGAGGUCCUGGGCCGUGUAAGAGGCUGGUGAGCGCGGAGAGCCUCGCCCGCACCCGGCAGCCAGCAGCCGGCCACGGCAGCUUUCGCGGUCCCCACCAAACUUCUCUGGCGGGGAGGUGAGUCCCUCUGUCAGCGUGUGGGACAGAAGCAGGCCUCUGUCCUCGGUCCUUUCUCUCGGCUCCUGUCUGUGCAUGUGACGUGAGCAUCAUCCCUGGCGCCGAGACCUCCCUCAGCGUGGACCGUUAGCCACGUGAGCCUUCCUGUCCCUACUCUGUUCCUGGCUGAAGAGUUUUUCCUCAGCAAUAGAAAGGAAAAGAGACACACUGCGGGCUGAUUCGCAGCUCGAGCAGUCAGCCACGCGAGACUCUUCAGUAGUGGGUCCCGGCUCUGCAGAACCGCGUCGUGAGCGAUGGUGAACGACCGAGUGCACGGGGAGCAAAGGUUAAUCGGAAUCAAAGCGCACAGUUCAGGUGCUCCCAGCAGCGCAGCUCUGGCCUUGUCACACUUCGCCGCGCAGCACCGGGCUUCUUGGUGCUGCCUGUGGCGACCCCACCCUACGCGCCAAGGAACGAUGCCCGAAACGCCUCAGCUUGGGUUCCGGGCUACUGUUUGUUAGGAACUGCAGUGUUUAUGGUACAUGAAGUUUUGUGCUCUCACAGAGGCAUGGUUUAAUACUCUGUCUCCUGCCUGUGGCUCCAGCUGUGAGCCUGACUGAGCCCAGCACCGAGCCUGACCGUUCCUGAAUGACCUCCAGCCCCAUGCCUGACUGUGCCUGACCGUGCUCCCUCCGUGAUGGCCUCGGACUCUAAGCCCUAAUAGGCUCUUUCUUCUAUAAGUUGCCUUGGUCAUGGUGUUUACCACAGCAGCAGAACAGUAACCACGACAGAUGGUGACCACCAAACAACAGGAACUUCCAGGGGCUGUGGAGAAUUCACGGCUACCAUCAUUUCCAAAGACAAAACCAUUUGCCCGGCCCACAGCCCUUUUAAAAAGAUUUACUUUUUUAUGUGCAUUGGCAUUGUGUCUGCAUUCAUGUUUGGGUGUCGGACCCCCUGGAACUGUGGUUACAGACAGUGACAUGCCAAGAGGAUGCUGGGAAUAUAACUGAGUCCUCUGGAAAAACAGCAGACUGGGCUUUUAUGGGGACAGAGCUUCUCUGUGUAGCCCUGGCUGUCCUGAAACUCACUCUGUAGACCAGGCUGGCCUCGAACCAUGAGAAUCACCUGCCUCUGCAUCCCAAGUUCUGGGAGUAAAGGCGUGAGCCAGCAGCACCCAGUGGGCAGCGAACACUCCUCACGGCUGAGCCAUCUCCAGCCACCGUCCACCCCAGCCCUGUUAAUGGCCUUGCACGGCCACCAAGGACGCUAGAUAGCCAAGGGCAGACAAGUAGAGUUGGAGGGUGCUGUGCCCUGUUCACGCCCUCCCUCAGCCUCUUUUGGAUCUGUAAGAGGGAUGGUGGGCUGACAGUGUGCUCUGCCUGCGACAGCAGAGCAAGGUCCCACGCUCAGCACAGGCAUCUGUGCACUGCCACUGCCUCUGCAGAACUCUGUGGUGUGACCUCGCUGGGAACUGAAUUCCAUUUGGUGAAGAUAAGAACAACAGGAAACGCCCAGCCCAGAAUCCCAUUCUUAGGUGCAGUGUGGGAAUCAAAACUCCAGUGUGUCAAUCAGGGCAGCAUGGAAGCAGCAAGAUGGAGAUGUCAACUCCUGCCUGUUGUUGGCUGGAGAGACGGCUCAGGGGUCAAGAGCACUGGCUGCUCUUGCAGAGGUCCUGAGUUCAAUUUCCAGCACCCACAAGGUAGCUCACAACCACCUAUAGUGAGAUCUGGUGUCCUCUUCUGUUGGGCAGGCACACAUGCAGGCAGAACAGUGUAUACAUAAUAAAUAAAACUAUUGUAUAAUGA